rnacentral:rRNA from 1 species
CACGUAGGGGGCAAGCGUUGUCCGGAUUUAUUGGGCGUAAAGAGCUCGUAGGUGGUUCAGUAAGUCGGGUGUGAAACCUCCAGGCUCAACCUGGAGACGCCACCCGAUACUGCUGUGACUAGAGUCCAGUAGGGGAGCAUGGAAUUCCUGGUGUAGCGGUGAAAUGCGCAGAUAUCAGGAGGAACACCAGUGGCGAAGGCGGUGCUCUGGGCUGGAACUGACACUGAGGAGCGAAAGCGUGGGGAGCGAACGGG